AUACGUAGGGGGCGAGCGUUGUCCGGAAUGAUUGGGAGUAAAGGGCGCGUAGGCGGCCCGGCAAGUCUGGAGUGAAAGUCCUGCUUUUAAGGAGGGAAUUGCUUUGGAUACUGUCGGGCUUGAGUGCAGGAGAGGUAAGUGGAAUUCCCAGGGUAGCGGUGAAAUGCGUAGAGAUUGGGAGGAACACCAGUGGCGAAGGCGACUUACUGGACUGUAACUGACGCUGAGGCGCGAAAGUGUGGGGAGCAAACAGGAUUAGAUACCCUGGUAGUCCACACUGUAAACGAUGAAUGCUAGGUGUAGGGGGUAUCGACCCCUUCUGUGCCGCAGUUAACACAAUAAGCAUUCCGCCUGGGGAGUACGGCCGCAAGGUUGAAACUCAAAUGAAUUGACGGGG
rnacentral:rRNA from 1 species